AUUAUUUGCCUCUCUUUAGAUAACAUUUGACCAUUGAUUUACUCCUGUUUAAAUUUUUGUGCGUACUAUUUUCGUUUUCUAGUUACUAGGCAUAAACCCGUGCAAGUAUGAUACCGGUUACCUGUAAAAGAAGUAUGAAAUAGAAAUAUAGGAAAGGAAUAGGAGUACACUCUUGCAAGAUUUUAAAACUGCAUGUAUGUUUCGUGUUGUGGUGAAGCCUGGAACUAUAUUUUCAGUAACUUUAUACAGCUUUAUCAAGCUGCUGUUUGGUAUUGGUUUGUGAAAGUAUAAAUAUUCUGAUAUUUGUUAGCUUAAUUAAAAUUGAGCUAUAUACUGCUUCAUAUUUCCUUAAUAAACUUAAUUGCAAGCCUUCCAUGUUAAGGUUUUCAGCCCAGUUUUUCCUAGUAACGGGACAGCUCUAUUCUCUUUUCAUAAAUUGCAGGAACACCCUACCCAUUUGGAACAAAAAGUUACCCAUAUGUCUUUUAUUUUUCUUUUCUUUUUUGAAUAUGAUUUGGCACAUGCUCCGGGUGACUGGACAGAUUAUAGUUAGACUCCGCUGACAUGGUUCUCUUUGUAGCACUGAAUAGUCAUCCACAUGAUAUCUAAGACGACACGGACGUAAUAAGAUUCACACCAUGGGAUUUCUUGAAGCUACGUGUCAUCUUUAUCUAUUUCCCUUAGGAAUAGGGUGAGCCUUCAACCUUUAGACCCCCUAUGAUUUUUUAAAAACUAUCAUUUAAAUGUCAAAACAGUCUUCAAACACAGUUGGUAACACUAAUAGGUGUUUAGAAAUAUUUACGUACCCUAUCAAAUUUGAUAUUAUCAAAAUACUGUUUACAACAAAUACACAUACAUUAUUCUCAAGUAGCAAUAUAAGUAUUUUAUAUUCAAAGCGUAUAAGGUAUAACCUUACUAAGUUUCCAAAAUCCGGGGGAUUACUCAAAUAAUAUUAUUGUUUGAUACAUGAUAUGAAUUUGCUUUAUUGGGUACGCACAUGAACGUACAUCAAUUUGAAGAGCGUUUGCUUCUUGAGUUAUUUUCAAACUUUUCCCUCUACUGCACAAGCACGAAAGCUGAAUUAUCUGUUUGCAUCCAAUUAGUUGUGCUAUUUCUGAUUUAUUAGUAAAGCAGUACAAUUUGCUGUUGGUCAAUUUGAGCAGCUCCAGUCAAUCCAACGGGAGAAAAUACUCAAAGCACAUGCAUCUAUCUUUAUCAUGAAUGCAUUGUGGCAUUGGAUGGUUUCCACUAAAAAUGAAAAAAAAUCUCAUUAAUUAGGCAAUCUUAAACAUUUACGUGGACCUCAUUACUUCAUUAGUAUGGGAGAAACCCACCCCAACUAGUAAUUUCCGAUCAGCUUGAACUCAUUUGGCAGGUUUGCUACAAUGCUACUGAGAUGUAGGUGACUUGAACUAUUAUGCCGAUUGAUUUGAUUUGGUCGCCAUGAUCUGUACGGCAUCCGAACAUGGAGUUAUGGUGUGGAUGCAUUAUGAUCUGGACCAUACAGAUAAACCCAAUGGGUUAUUUCUGUUUUUUUAGAGUCAACGCGGUGGCUUGGAAGGAAUCCCAAUUGGUAAAUAUAUAACAUGCAAAGAUAUUGAUUUGUUGCAACUUCACAAGUCAGCCUUUUUUUCCUUCUCUUUUUACCUUUGCUCCCAUGUUGAUGUUGGUGUUUGGAUUCAACCAUAUUGAUACUAGCAUCAGUGGUGGCAUGGCUGUACGAGCCCCACCGAGUAGUUUUCUAGGCUGCAAGCUCUUGACGAGACCUGUGGAGAGCUAUCGACGAGCUUGCAACACCCCUAGGUGCAACAAUGCCCAGCCCUACAACAAAUGCAGUGCCACAACAAUGACCACCGCACUCUGUGUAUGUGGUUCAGUGUCGAUGCUUGUACCCCUGCUGACGCUUCAAAUUCCAAUACUAAUGCCACAGUUAUGCCCAGGUAGACGGGCAUUAUCAUUAGUUGCGGAUCACUGCUUGCGCAUGGUUCAAUUAUUCCCUUCUUUUUUAUGAGGUUCUUGUUCAGAAAGAACACAGCUUGGCAUGGACAGCUGUGACUUGACAGUUGACAGGAGCAGAAUGCAAGAACAAAAAUAAUCAGGGAAGGGAAAAUAAAUGGAAGUGACCGCAAAAGGAUGGAUCAUCAACCCAAAAAUCCCAGUAUGGAUAUAUAAUCAAUUAGAAUCUAGGUUAUGCGGGAUAAGUAAUGUGGGUAUGUUCAUAAGAGGCUCAGAUAAUCAAAUAUCCUACCUAGCAUAAGAGGGGCUCCUUUGAAGCAUGAAUGAGCAGUUUACGUGUCUUUAGUCUUAAGUGGUCAAUCUGUGGUGUACUUGUCGAUUUUGUAUGCAGCGCCUUGUUAUUAAACUGCGGAAGCAAAGAUUUUUGUUGCAUCCACAUAAUUCUUGUUCUAACUAUUAAGUGUAUCUGCAGGAUGAACUCGCUUUGCUUUCAGUGUCUCUUUUGUGCCAUGCAUCUGGAGCCUUUGCGGAGAAAUGGAGGAUGGUCAAGAUGGUGCUGCCGACCUUACUUGGGCAUUCGUUUUUCUUACGAGGAAUCAGCCAUCCUGUACCUCGCUAUAUGUGCGGUAUGAGGCAAAUGUAAAACAAGAGAUGCUGCAAGCAAGGUGGAUUAGUCGAUGUACUUCGCUACAUAUGCUUAUGUUAAGCGUGUCCUAGCAAGAAAUGUUGUAAUCGACGUGAUUUUUUGUGAACUUUUACAUCCAAGAGGCUUUUUUUUGUGUGUGUGUGUAUGUGUGUUGGAAAAAUUGUCGAGUAACUUAUUGCUGUCAAAAGUCUCAGCAGUUGCAGCACAUUAUCCUCUGCUCAACAUGUUCGUGUAUCCAAUGAUCAAUUGCUGCUUUAGGUUCUUAUUAUUGCUCAUUCUAGGUUUGAGAAUUCAAAUUUGUAGUUUUGUCGGAUGCCUUUCGAAAGCCACAUUCUGAGGCAAUCGGCUGAAAUAAAACAGGUAAGCUUCAUGCCUUCAUCGUCGACCGAUCAGGAUCUGAACAAUUCUGAUACUCCACAUCUUUGCAAGAGAUAUCUAUCUUGUGACUACCCUGUUGGGUUAGACACACAACUUUUUGUCAACAAGUGAUAGGAAGCUCAACAAAUCUGAUACUUAUCUAGCUGUGAUGGCAGCUCUUUGCUGUCUUCCUACUCUGGCAAAUUUUACCUGGUUGUGUUAUUUUUUGCUGUGACGAGACAGGUUCUUUAUGAUGGGUAUUGCUGCUACAUUUGCUGGAGCAUUUGGACUGGGAAACAAAGUCACCUUUGACGCACACCUCUGAUAGAUAUUGUUUGCACGGUGCGUUCGGCUGUUCGUUACUGUUAUAUUGGUCAGGUUUGCGUAAGGGGGAGAAAGUUCUUCGUUUCAGGAUGGCGUUUGUCAGCUGAUGCAGAUGCUGCUACUGCUGCUGAUCGUGGGACGAGAAGGAAUAUUUAUGGCCAUAUGCUUGUUGGUAGACAUGCCAGGUCCAAUGGCUGUCCUCUUUUUCUCAUCGGUCAUGUUCUCUUUCUUACAUUACAAUUUACAAUCAUUGUCCUUUCCUCCCUCGGUCUGAUGUGUACAUGCUUGAUGAUCAAGAACCGUUCAGGUUCCCUGCUCCGGGCACAUGCACUUUGGAACGCAAGAGCAGGUAGCUCUUCGUCCAUGGAAGCUUGCACAACUCGUGAUGAAAUGCGGUUGGCAAGCAAGCUUGGAUUUCAAAGAAUCGUCAUAGAGAGUGAUGCCCAGGAGGUGGUCAAACUGUGUAACACAUACUGCUUUGAUCGUGCGAAGAUUGUUGCUAUCUCUCAAGAUACAAGGGAGCUUAUUAGAGGCUUAGGCGGAGGUGUGUUGGUGCAUGUGGUUCGUGAAGCAAAUGAGGUGUAUCAUGGAUGUGCUAAAUAGGCUAGUGAGCUUAGGCGGAGGUGCAUGUGGACUAACUACGGCUCUACCUUCCUUCAUGAUUAUAUGCAGUUAUCCCGUAAUCCCUCUAAGUAAUAUUAUAAAGCUCCUUGUUAGAAAAACAAAAAAUAUUGGUCUAGUAGCCCUGCGAAUGUGGUGUUUCGUUGCUGCGUGUGUUGGUCAGAGGGUGGUGGGGGGAGGGGGUGGGGGCGUCGAAUAGAGGAAGUAUGUACUUACGAUGAUAACACAUAAAUACAUGCCACACAUUUGGACGGUCCACACCCCUAAACUAGCGCGACCUACCAAUCCAUAGCUUCCCAUGGGACCAGGGUAUGCAUGCUAGAUCAUAACUCGCUAGAGCAUCAGAAGCAUUCUCUCCAGCAUAUUCCCUGGUGGUUUCCAAAAUAAACUUUCUCUAUCCAUGUUGCUUCCACACAUGCUCCCGAUAUUCUAUAUCCCCAGGUCCAGUAAUCAUGUAUGUUUCCUCAUACAAGUGAUGUUUUCUUUCAUUCCAUAGUUGUUCCCAUUAUUAUAGAAUAAACAUGUUUCCAACACUAGAACCCAUGCUUCACGAUUCAUAGUCGCAUUUUUCUCGAAGCAUUGUCAAGCUUUAUUUCUAUGCUAUGAAUGCUUCUAUUUCAGAACACAAUUUUGUGAUGAUAGAAGACCGGAAAAUGUAGUACCAAAACAUUGUUAUCGCACCCUCACAAAAAAAAACAUUGUAUUGUAGUGUAAGAAUGAAUCACAUGUAUGUUCAAGGUAACAUGUCGUGUUUCAUGUGUAUGACAUGUAAUACUAAUGCAUUUCCAUGAUAGUGAGCCAGUGGAAACACAUUUUGAUAGUUGUCGAAACGGGAACAGAAGUAGUACUGAAUCAUUGUCAUCUGUAUGUAAAAAAUGAAGCAAACAUAUAAAUACUUGAAAACAUGUCACAUAUGAUAUCAGAAGCAUGUAUGUGGUACUAAACCCAAUGAAGCGCAUACAUAAAACGCUAGGAAAUGUAUAUAGAGACCACUGCAACAACUGCAUUUACGAUGUUCCCACUCCCAUGCAUACAAUAAGUCACAACGAUGACAGCAGAGAUGAUGCCGACUCAAACAAGAUCAUCUUUCAAAGGAACGUUCUUCCAGGAGGAGUGUGAAUGUCGCCCGAGAUCGAGACGAUGACCAUGAGAACUAAGGGUGGCACUGAGUCGACUACGAGUAGUAGGAACGAAGUCUCGGUUAGGAGCAAUAUGGAUGCCUCAACACUACAGGAGAGGCUUGCGCACCAAUGGGAUCAUAUAUCAGUGAAAAGCCUCCUCGUCACACUUCCCAUCCCCCCGUCUUCGUCAAUAUUAUGGCCUCACCCUGUCAUCUCUCGUGGUCAAUGCCCUCGUCAACGUCAUGCUUCUCGCCCUGCUCCCGGUCGACAUCCUCGCUCAACGGUGAAGAGCGUGAAGCUUUCGACAGACGGCUUGCGGUGGUUAUUCUAACUCUUAUUUACAAGACCUUGGAUCGAUUAUCGAUAUUCAAUAGUAAGGAAGAUGGCUUGGUGAGAUCAGACAUCGGAUAAUAAUUCUCCUUAGAAACUGCCUUUAAGGAAAACUAAUGAAAAUUUGAUAAAAUUACACGUCUUUGAAAGCUGUGUUUUGAGGCAAUCAGCUAAAACAAAACGACAAGCUUCAUGCUUCACGCCGACAUUCCUUUAUCCACAUCUUUGCAAGAGACAUGCAUCUUGUGAAAGCCCUGUUGGAUUAGACACUAUGUCAACAAGUGAUCAGAAACUCAAUAAUCCUGAUACGUAUCUAGCUGUGCUGGCAGCUCCUUUAUGGCUUCCUACUCUCGGCAAAAUUUGCCUGGUUGCAUUCUUUCUCGCCGUAACGAGACAGGUUCUUUAUGAUGUGUAUCUCUGCUACAUUUGCUAGAGUAUUUGGACUGUGAGAAACAAAGUCACCUUUGAUGCACACCUCUCGCAGAGAUUGUUUUCACGAUGCGUUAAACUGUUCGUUACUGUUAUAUUGGCCAGGUCUUCGUAAGGAGGAAGACGGUUUUUCUUUUCAGGAUGGUGUUCGUCAGCUGAUGCAAAUGCUGCUAAUCAUCGGACGAGAAGGAAUAUUUAUGGUCAAAUGCCGCUGACGCACAUGCACUUUGGAACGCAAGAGCAAGUAGCAUGUAGGCCGUGAAGCAAAUGAGGUGCCUCAUAGUGUGCGAAACAAACUAGUGAGCUUAGGUGGAGGUGUUUGUGGACUAACUACACCUCUACCUUCCUCCAUGAUUGUAUGCAAUUUCUUCGUAACCUAAUAUAUAAAGCUCCUUACUAGCAAAAUAAAUGUUUGGUCAACUAGCCCUGAGAAUGUGGUGUUUCAUUGGUGUGUGUGNNNNNNNNNNNNNNNNNNNNNNNNNNNNNNNNNNNNNNNNNNNNNNNNNNNNNNNNNNNNNNNNNNNNNNNNNNNNNNNNNNNNNNNNNNNNNNNNNNNNNNNNNNNNNNNNNNNNNNNNNNNNNNNNNNNNNNNNNNNNNNNNNNNNNNNNNNNNNNNNNNNNNNNNNNNNNNNNNNNNNNNNNNNNNNNNNNNNNNNNNNNNNNNNNNNNNNNNNNNNNNNNNNNNNNNNNNNNNNNNNNNNNNNNNNNNNNNNNNNNNNNNNNNNNNNNNNNNNNNNNNNNNNNNNNNNNNNNNNNNNNNNNNNNNNNNNNGGAAGUAUGUCUUUACGAUGAGAACAUGGAACACAUUUGGAUGGUCCGCACCCCAAAACUAGUGCAGCAUACCAAUCCCUAGCUUCCCGUCGGACCAUGGUAUGCCUGUUAGAUCAGAACUCGCUGGAUGCAUUCUUUCGAGCAUAUUUCCCGGUGGUUUCCAUAAUGAACUUCCUUUAACCAUGUUUCUUCCAUACAUACCCCCAAUAUUCACUCCAUGUCCCAAUAAUCGUGUAUGUUUCCUUAUACACCUAAUGCUUCCUUUCAUUCCAUUCGUGUAUGUUCCUUAUAUACCCAAUGCUUCCUUUCAUUCUAUUAGUUGUUCCCAUUAUAGGAUAAACAUGUUUCCAACACUACAAGCCAUGCUUCAUGAUUCAUAGUCGCAUUUUUAUCCAAGCAUUAGCAUGGUUCGUCUUCGCGCUCUGUCGCUGAAGACGCCGACGCUCGCGGGCGCCGCUAUCUUCUUGAAGACGUCGUCAUGACGUUCCUCUCCGUGUCCGGGUUCUGAUGAAAACCUCUACCUAUUGUAGACUCGGCAACAACGACGCCUAACGCCAUUAUCCCUCGGGGCGUUGUUGUGGAGCUUAGGUGUUAUAGGUCUUAGCACGGUGUUGCUUUAGUUCAUCUUGUACUUUAUUUCGGUAGCAUAGUCGCGCUCGUUCUGCGUGAUCCGAUUAUCUUGGGAUCGGCAGUGUUUGGAGGCCACCCCAUCUCCUUGUGUCCUUCGGCCGCCUCGACAACGGUGCAGCCCGCCUCGCCUCCAAUGCGGAAAUCUCCUCUUGCCUGCAGCCAACGGAGGGAGUGCGCCACGAUUGCCUUCGGCCUCUGCCCCGAGAUGGUAUGCGCCAUCGCGGUGGCCAGCGUGAGGGCCGACACCGCUCCUCGCAUCCGACGUGGAGAGCUCCUUUUGGGUGCGGCCACCUGAGGGAGUGCGCCGUCAGGGCCAGUCCUAAGGGGGGCCGAACGGGGCAGCCGCCCCGGGCCCCCGGUGCGAGAGGGGGCCCCAAAAUGCUGAGCAUUAGGUAUUGUCCUUGAUUUUGUUUUUCCUUUUUCUAUGAUUUCCUUUCAUAAUGCGGGAUGCCCUUCCUUAAUCCACCAUUUCCUUAAUUAAUUAUGAUCCAUAAAAUAGGGGUACUACUAUUUAUUCCUAUUUUCCUUCCUUACCAGCAAAGGUGCGAUUGGGAAACACGUAGGAGUUAUUGUAUGCGAUUAAUUAGGGGUAGUUAUGAAUAAACAUCUCCUGAUUUUUUUCCUUAAUCCAUGAGAUUACUAGUGUACAACCAUGUACUCAGAGAACGGAUCACCCCCUGCAUGGAGAUUGAUAUUCAUCUCAUGCGUGCAACCGCCGCCUAGUGCAGGCCUGAGUCGGAGGAGUGCGACCUCACUAAAUCUCCGAGAUCAUAUACAAGUUACAAAGACCCGAAAAAAUGUACAAGUUACAAAGAAGAGAAGGUAUGUUUCUGAUAUCUAUUUAUGCAUGUAGUCUAUCCCCUAUGAGAUUUUACCAAGAUGGUUGAUCAAAGUUUAUAAAUGAUUGCCAACAUUGCCUCUUCACUAUCGCAACUAGCCUGUUGGGGAUAUUACUACUGGGCGUAAACCGGUCUAUCUGGGCCGGGUUAACUUCGUCAGUAGUUAAGUAUGUUAAAGCCCAAGAAGACAGAGGAGGGCUCAAGGCCCAUGGUCGGUUCAAGGCCUGUAGCCGUAAACCGGCAUUAGUAAUUAACCUGAAUUGUAAGUUAGGAAUAAGUAGAGACCAAACUGGACACAUCUAUGAGCCGGUAUUGGGACUCCGUAAGCCGACGGGAGUCACCCGUGUAUAUAAGGGGACGACCCAGCGGUGAUUCAGGAACAUACAACAACUCGAGACAUAGACGAAGCUUGUUGGCUCCCUAGUCAUCGAAACCCCAUCAAUUCCAUAACAACUAGACGUAGGCUUUUACCUUCAUUGAAGGGGCCGAACUAGUAUAAACUCUCUUGCGUCCUUGUGUCCGCUUUAACCCCUUCAAGCUAACCCGUCGCGAUGGCUCCACGACUAAGUCCUUUCUUUAGGACAUCUGCCGUGACAAAACCACGACAGUUGGCGCCCACCGUGGGGCUGUCGCACGAUGGUUUCCGGUUUUUGGAGGGCUGCUUUGAAGGACUCGAGGGCUACGCUAUAGGCCGGAUGACUAAGAGUCAUCGCGGUAAGCUCUACAUCGACAACGCAGGCUGGGGCCCCGAGGCCGGCUCAAUUGAGUACGGGUACCGGGUCCCCUUUGGUAGCAUUCACGUUUUCAUUGGCAAGAUCGGUUAACCGGGCCCUGAGAUGGACAUCUGCACCGACCUCGUCGAGACGGCUCAGCGUGCGCGAUCCGCCCGGGUUAAACCGGCCAUGAAGCAUGCCUUCGUGGGAGUCAUCCAUGGAGGAAGUUAUGAGGACGGAUCGGAAUUUCGCGGCGCGACCGUCGUUUGUUCCGGUGACGAAUCUUCGACCGGGGAAACCGAAUCUCUUUAUCAGCUACAAGAUGGCCAGAUUGGGAGUUGUUCCGAUGGCAAUAGUAUUCCGGACCCCUCUGAUCUGCCCAACCGGGUUGGAAUAUUCAUGGCCGGAACACAAGCAGCGCUUCAUUCUUCGACAGCUGCGGCAACGGUCUCCGGUUCGGCAGCGGCGACGGCUGCCGGGGCAGGAGGCCCUGUGCGCCCGCCGGCUCAGGUUCUAUCAGAACUAUUUGAUGUGUUGGUUGUGCUUAUGGCGGAAGUUAAUCCGCCGGAUCAGGACGUUCACAACGCGGAGAUUGCAAAGGUAAAGGAACAGAUCACCCAAGCCAAGGCGGAUCUGGCGGCUGAGGACACCAGGAUGGCCGCAGAGCGGGCCGCCUUAGAUGCACAGGCCUACAAGCUUAUGUUGGACCAGAGCGCGUCGCAUGAAGUCAUGAGGAGGAAGCACCGAUCCCGCUUACCUCCGGUUUUCGAGGCCAGAGACCUUUUCAACACUCCAGGACCAAGAGCCGGCAAUCCACUGGAGGGAAACCGAGCAGAAGCCCCUGGGAUCGGUGCACCAGUUCAGCCUCGUCAGAUGGACCCGCCCCGUCAAAACACCGUUGUACCUCAGACCGCUUUAACACCUCCGGGUCACUACUCCAACCCAAUGGACAAUCUUGUUGCCGCUGCUGCACGGCUGGAGGCCAUUCCAAUUGAAGGUGACUCGCCGCAGGCAGUAGAGAUGCGACGGGUCAAGGAACUUCUGAGGACAACUUUGGCCCAACAGGAAGCGUACUCGUACAGCCGCGACCGGAUCCACUCGACCCCCCGUCCAAGCCGGAGCUAUAGCAGACACAUGGAUGAACCGGCAGUGUCGAGUAAUGAACGACAUGGGGCACCCCGUGACAACAACCCGACGGGUGGUGCUGAUGACGCUCAGGGAGUGGUGGACCGGGCCCGCGCGCAGGGAGGCCGAGUUAGCCACACAGCAUCAGGCUCGGCAGCUCACGCCGGUUCGUCCAACCACCUUGACUGAACCUGGUGUUACUUCUAGUUCUUUGGGGGUGCCUUGCCUUAUCCCCGCUUUACGCAACAUGCGCCUGUCCAAGGAUUUCAAAGGCCCACGCAAGGUACCAAAUUACACGGCGGAUCAACCUCUAGAGACAUGGGUGGAGAGCUAUGAGAUGGCCAUGGAGAUGCUUGAUGUGGAUGACGCGGCGUGUGCGAAAUACUUCACCAUGAUGCUCGAAGGAACGGCCCGUACUUGGUUAAAAAGCUUGCCGGCUAAUUCUAUCAGUUCAUGGGCCCAAUUACGAGCCCGGUUUAUCAGCAAUUUCAAAGAUACAUGUAAACAGCCUAUGUCGAUAGUGGACUUAGCUGCAUGCGUCCAGGAGGAAGGAGAAUCAACGACUCAUUGGGUGCGCCGGGUUUCACAAGUGUUGCACUCCUCAGACCGCAUCAACGCUGACACCGCAGUAUUAACCCUAGAAGGCAACUGCCGGUUUGGACCCCUGAAGCUGAAGUUGGGAUGGAUGAAGCGUCAUUGCACCGACAUGGGGACCCUCAUGGCCGCUUUGGUGAAAUAUGCUGAUUCUGAUAGCACCAAGGAUCCCGAAUAUGAUGAUGACAAGACAAGGAAAGGGAAGAAGAACAGCAGCUCCAAAGGUCAGCAGCAUCACUGGGCAGGCAAAGGUGGAGGAGGCAAGAGUAAAGCGGGUGGUAACAUGGACUUUCUGGCUAAUACCAACGCACAGGACAAUGGCCAGCGACGCAAUGGUAGGCCGAAAAAUCGUAAUGGAGCGCCCAACCCUAACCCAAACCACCUAAACUAUCUGCUAAGCCAGCCCUGUCAAGACAUGGGACGAAGGAGGCGCCGGCAAACCACCUUUGGAAAGAUUGCUUUAUUAUGCAGGAGUUCAAGAAUUCUAAUAAUUUCCGGUAUGAUCACGAAUCUGGCGGAGGCUCGGGAUCCGGGCCGGGUUACGGAGGAGGAAUUUCCGGUUCAGGAUUCAAUGGUAAUCCGGGCGGACAUAAUGGUCAAAAUAGUCAGAACAACCAGGGUGGUUACAACCAACAGCAGCAACAAUCAGGUUACUAGAGCAACCCAAAGCAGUUGAGUAAUGGGCAGUACCAUGUCUUCACCACUAGCUUGGACAAGCGAGACCGGAAAGUUCAGAGGCGGGCGGUCAACUCUGUUGAACCGGCCAUACCCCGUUAUCUACGUUGGUCUAAACAACCAAUCAUAUGGAGCAGAGAAGAUCACCCUCCCCAGGUCGAUAAUCCGGGUCAGCUGGCUUUGGUGGUGGCGCCUCAGGUGGGAGGUUACAAGUUCACCAAGGUGCUCAUGGAUGGAGGGAGUAGCAUUAACAUCCUGUACUAUGAGACCUUCCGUCGUAUGGGACUAACAGAUAAGAAUCUCAAACCGUCUAAUACAGUAUUCCACGGUGUAGUGCCUGGCAGAUCAGCAUAUCCCGUUGGUAAGAUAGCUCUGGAAGUGGCCUUUGGGGAUUAUCAUGAUUCCAGGUCGGAGAUAUUGACGUUUGAAGUGGUGAAAAUCCAAAGUCCAUAUCAUGCCCUGUUUGGGCGACCGGCCUACGCCAAGUUUAUGGCUCGGCCCUGUUAUGUGUAUUUGCAGCUCAAGAUGCCGGGUCACAAGGGGACAAUAACGGUUCACGGAAGCCGCAAAAUCGCUUUGGAAUGCGAGGAAGGAGAUGCGGCUUAUGCAGAGUCGGUUUGUGCCACCGAGGAGUUGAAGUACUAUAAAGACAAUGUUGAUCCGGCGGACAUGACUCCGUUGAAGAAGCCAACUACGGAGCAUGAUCCGGCCCUGAAGUUCAAAUCGGCAGCAGAAACUAAGCUUGUUGACUUCGUACCUGGUGAUUCGUCCAAGCAGUUCAGCAUCAGUGCCAACUUGGAUCCGAAAUAGGAAAGCGCGCUCAUCAAGUUCAUCCGUGGGAAUCAGGACAUUUUUGCAUGGAAGCCCUCUGACAUGCCAGGUGUACCGAGGCAACUCGCUGAGCACACACUUAAUGUGGAUCCUAAAUAUAAACCGGUGAAACAGUUCCUCCGCCGGUUUAACGAAGAAAGACGCAAGGCAAUUGGAGAAGAGGUAGCCAGGCUCGUAGCAGUUGGCUUUAUUGUUGAAGUUUUUUACCCUGAGUGGCUUGCCAAUCCGGUGCUGGUCCUCAAGAAAAACAGCACCUGGCGCAUGUGUGUGGAUUACACAGAUCUUAAUAAGGCUUGUCCAGCAGAUCCUUUUGCUCUCCCCCAUAUUGAUCAAAUUAUUGAUGCUAUGGCGGGCUGUGAGUGUUUAAGUUUUUUGGAUGCGUAUUCUGGCUAUCAUCAGAUCAAAAUGGCAGUUAAGGACCAGGAGAAGACGACAUUUAUAACUCCCUUUGGAGCCUUCUGCUAUGUGCCUAUGCCCUUCGGGCUCAAGAGUGCCCAAGCGACUUACCAACGGUGUGUACAAAAUUGUCUUCACAAGCAGAUUGGCCGUAAUGUACAUGCUUACAUGGAUGAUAUCGUGGUUAAGUCCAGGGAGAAGGAGACUCUGAUUGAUGAUUUGAAGGAAACCUUUGAUAACCUGAGGACAUACAAGAUGAUGCUUAAUCCGAACAAGUGUGUCUUUGGUGUACCGGCGGGCAAGUUAUUAGGCUUCUUGGUGUCCAAUAGGGGAAUUGAGGCUAAUCCGGAAAAGAUCACAGCCAUCACCUCCCUCGCUAAACCGAAGUGUAUCAAUGAUGUUCAGUGCCUGGCAGGCCGGAUUGCUGCAUUAAGACGGUUUAUCAGUCGCCUCGGUGAGAAGGCAAUCCCUUUGUAUCAGAUGUUGAAAAAGACGGAUCAGUUUGUCUGGAGUUCUGCUGCUGAUGAAGCAUUUGAGGACUUAAAAUGGCAAUUGGCCAAUCCACCUGUGCUCGCUGCGCCCAUUGACAAGGAGCCAUUGCUGCUAUAUGUUGCUACUAAUGCUCGAGCGGUCAGCGUGGCUAUUGUGGUAGAGCGAAAGGAGGCAGGUAAGGAGCAUCCGGUUCAACAUCCGGUCUAUUAUAUCAGCGAGGUGCUCAUUGAGUCCAAGCAAAGGUAUCCGCAUUGGCAGAAGCUGGUGUAUGGAGUUUUUAUGGCAAGCCGGAAGCUUAAACAAUACUUCCAAGGGCAUCCAAUUACAGUGGUCAGUUCUGCUCCUUUGGGAGAUAUCAUCCAGAACCGGGAAGCAACUGGCCGGAUUGCAAAGUGGGCUAUAGAGCUGGGGCCGUACGGUUUGAAGUAUGUGCCUCGGACAGCGGUUAAGUCUCAAGCACUUGUUGAUUUCAUCAAUGAUUGGACGGAAAUGCAAGCACCUGAAGAAAAGCCGGAUCAUACGUAUUGGACCAUCCAUUUUGACGGAUCCAGGCAAUUGGAAGGCUCGGGGGCUGGAGUCGUAUUAACCUCCCCACGAGGUGAUAAGUUUUGUUAUGUUCUCCACUAAUGUUCCCUUGUACUAACAAUGCAGCUGAGUAUGAAGCCUUGCUCCAUGGUCUCCGGAUUGCUAAGGAGAUGAAUCUAAGUCGAGUUAAGUGCUUCGGUGACUCGGACCUUGUGGCUCAGCAGGUGUCUGGCACUUGGGACUCCAAGGACCCACUCAUGGCAGCAUAUCGUCGUGAGGUGGAUAUUGUUGCAGGUUAUUUCAGAGGCUAUCAGGUGGACCACGUGGACCGGCGGAAAAAUGAAGCGGCGGACGCUUUAAGCCGGCUGGGCUCUCAACGCAAACCGGUCCCGCCCAAUGUUUUUCUGGAUGUGCUACACAACCCGUCAGUGAAGAUCCCUGGUGAAGAGGAUUUGGCUAUUCCUGAUCCGGAGGCUCAAUUGGUGGCAGCUCUUCAUGUUAUUCCGGAUUGGACGCUUCCUUACCUGGCGUACAAGAACCGGGGCGAGUUGCCAGAGGAUGAGAUUCUAGCCCGACAGAUAAUCCGGCGAUCCAAGUCCAUGGCUAUCAUCAACGGCGAGUUGCAUCAUUGCAGUGUAUCAGGAGCUUUUCAACGUUGCGUGUCCCCUGAAGAAGGUCGUGAAAUUUUGCGUGAGAUCCACGAAGGAGAUUGUGGUCACCAUGCCGGUUCAAAGUCUCUGGUGGCUAAAGCAUUUCGCCAUGGCUUCUAUUGGUUAACUGCUCAUGCUGAUGCGGAGGAUCUGGUCAGACGAUGUGAUGGUUGCCAAAGGUUUUCAAGACGUGCUCAUGUACCGGCUCAAGAAUUGAGAAUGAUUCCAAUUACUUGGCCGUUUGCGACUUGGGGGCUGGAUAUGGUUGGGCCUUUCAAAAGGUCCAAAGAUAAGAAGACCCACCUCCUGGUGGCGGUUGACAAGUUUACAAAGUGGGUGGAGGCAGAACCUGUUAGCAAGUGUGAUGCGGCCACGGCGGUUCAGUUCAUCAAAAAGGUGAUUUUCCGGUUUGGCUUUCCGCAUAGUAUUAUCACAGAUAAUGGUACCAAUUUGUUCAAAGGUGCUAUGAAGGAGUUCUGCGAACGGGAGCACAUCCGGCUCGACGUUUCAUCAGUGGCACAUCCACAGUCCAAUGGUCAAGCAGAAAGAGCUAAUCAAGAGAUCCCGAGAGGCAUCAAGCCCCGGCUCAUGGUUCCUUUGCAGAGAACGCCGAGUUGUUGGGUAGAAGAAUUACCAUCUGUGCUAUGGAGCAUCAAUACAACACCCAACAGAUCAAAAGGAUACACACCGUUCUUCAUGGUUUAUGGAGCGGAGGCGGUUCUCCCCAGUGAUAUCCGUCAUGAUUCACCUCGUGUAAUGGUUUAUAUUGAAGCGGACAACGAGACAGCACGGCAAGAUGCUUUGGACCGGUUGGAUGAAGAGCGUGACAUCACAGUCGCCCGAUCGGCGAUUUACCAGCAGGAUCUUCGUCGUUAUCACAGUCGUCGGGUCAGAACCAGAACCUUUCAGGAGGGAGAUUUGGUGCUUCGGCUCAUCCAAGAUCAGACUGAUAUGCAUAUGUUAUCCCCACCUUGGGAGGGGCCUUUCAUGGUCAGCAAGAAUCUGCACAACGGGUCAUACUAUCUGAUCGAUAUUCGAGAACAUAAGGACUCACGUACAUCAGAGGAGGAGACCAACAGGCCGUGGAACAUAGCUCAUCUUCGGCCUUAUUAUACCUGAGCCAUUGGUUCUACUUAUGUACAUAUUACAGCGAUGUAUAUAUUAACUAUAAUAAACUGGAACCUCAGCUAAAGCGGGGUAUCUGUUCUUUUACAUCAUGUGUGGUUACACGGAGUUGUUUUAAAGCGACUUCCGGUUUACCCCUUGAGUUCGCUUUGCUAAAAGCAUCGUAUUAUAUCACUUGGAGGAUUGGUCGUGUCCGAACCAAUACCAUGCCUCUUGAUAGGCGAGAGCCACCAGAUCACUUGGGGACUUGGUCAUGUCUGAACUAGUCAUGCAUCUUGAUCGUCCUAAGGCCACAGAAUCACUUGGGGGCUUGGUCAAACCCAAACCAUGACCAUGCCAUUUGGUCGGCAUAAAUGCCACGGUUUCAUUUGGGGACCUGGCUGACUAGAACUAUAGUUACACCUAACGGGAGCUUGGUCAUGUUUGGCCAUGGUAACGCCAUUUGAUCAGCUUAAAUAAACCUUUUUUGGCAAACGGUUUUUUCAUUGCUUUUGCUUCACACUUUUCUUUGAAGGGUUUUUUUUUCUUUUUAUUGCGUUUUUAAACCGACAAAGUUUUUUAACCAAUCAAUUGACGGAACACAGUUCACGUCAAUCCGGAGACUAUUUUGCCCGGUUUGAUCCUUGUUGUUAACAUCCUCUUAUGGAGUAACACGGUGUUUAUUAUAACCCGGCACAGUUUACAUGGUAAACCAGCGUCAUAUAUAUAUACAGGAGCUGUUAUCUCCUCCAACAGUGUGGGUUUGCAAAACUCCGCUUCAAGAUUGGCCAAGCCAACUUCACACUCAACGAUGGCAGGUAUUAUGUAUCUCAAAAUUUUGAUCAUAUAUUUAAAAUUUCGUUUUGGAUGUUUUGAUUUCAUAUAUACAGACAUCAUAUUCCGCCUGACGGUACAACCGCGGUGGCACUUGAUGAAUUUAUCAUUUCAGAAAGUGUUUUGGAAAGUUCAUUACCACAGGAAGAACAAAUUAUGCACGAAGGCAUAUCAACAUCAAAGGUAUCAGCUAGCCUAUUACAAGGCAACAUGGUGCCCAUAAUAAUAUAAUUGUUUUUCACAAAGGAGAGGCAGUUUUAAAACCGGCUUCCGGUUCAAGCUUGCUCACCAGCCUGGCCUGAUGGUUGUGGGUCAUCCUGCGCCGCUUCAGCCUCUGUUUCUCUACCCAGUGGCUGGAAAUCCACAGUUGUCCAGUCGAUUCCCAUUAAUGCUUGAAAAACAGCUUCAUCAUGGAUCAGCAAUGACGGGUCAAUAUCGGGAGCGUAAGUAUGCUUACGGAUUGGAGGGAUCAGAUUUUCCGAUUCAUGGAUUGCUGCAGCUAUUCGCUUGUUCUGACUGUCAUAUUGCGCUUGAUAAUGAGACAAGUCUGCUUCCUCAGCCAACUGACAAGCUAGCGGACGUACCUCCCAGUUUAUUGCUCGCAGAUCCGCUUCACCAAAUUCUGACCCAUCUUCCUUCAAGCUGGGAUAGCCCUGAGCCGCUUCAAUAGGAUCAAAAUCCGGCACCCAGGCUUUUGCCCGGAUUAAGGCAUUGAUUGCACCGGUUCGAGCAGCAGAUUUCUUCAGCUCUUCAACCCGGGCAGGAAGCACUGACAGUUUCAUCAGAGUAUCUUGAAUCAAAGUGGGCACCGGUUUGUUAUGAGACGCGGUACAGAUGAUCCGCUGGGCACCAGUAUACAAUUGUUCAACCAAUGUAUAGGCGGCUUUCAAUUUCUUCCGCACAUCUGACCCCAAGCGACCAAUGCGUGAACCUGAAAUACCAUAAAGGGUUAAUAACCGGCGACUCUGUAAGAAGGCAGAGCCAAUUCAGAAGGCAAGCUGGCUUACCAAAGAUAUCAGUGGUCAUGGCAUGCACGUGCCGCUUUAUGCUGGUCAGUUCAUCCGUCACUGGUUUUAGUGCAGCCUCGGCAUCCUCUGCUCGUUUGAUCAAAGCGGACUUUUCAGUGGCCCAAUCCGCUCGUUUCUUCUUGAAGUUCUCCUUAAGUUGUUCCAUGGCGCUUAAAGCGCUGGCCAAUUCCUCUUUUGCUUUGGAGGUUUCAGCCUGUUGGGUUUUCAGAUUUUCUUGAAGAUCGAUGACUUGGUUUUCUUUCGUCUUCAGCUCCGCCUGCAUGUAUACAGAUAUAUGCUUCGACAAAUCGGUAUAAGGAUUCAAGUACCAACCACAUAACAAGUUAUGCGCUUAGCACUUGGGGGCUAAUGCAUAUUCGAUCUUCAUCUUUCAAUUGUUUACAAAGUCCCAAGAUCAAUACAAGUAUUCAGCUUGGCACUUGGGGGCUAAUGGCUAUUUGAUCAUAUAUAUUCUAAUGCGACAGUUUCAAUUACUUAAAGUACCGGUUUAACUACGCUAAGUUGAACCGGCCCUUGGGGGCUACAUCAGCGAAUUUCAAAGCAUCAAGAUUUAUAUUAUUAAGUCCCAGUUUGAAACAAUAUUUCAAACCGGCCCUUGGGGACUAGGAGAGUCAGCAAGAAUGGAAGCAUACAAGCAGGAAGGAGCAUAUGGAAGUUACCUCAUAUUUAUCUUUCAUCAUAUUAACCAGACCGGCUUCAUAGUCACGACUGGUAUACAGCCGGUUCAGAUAGCCGGAAUGGAUAUCUUGGGCGUUCAGAGCAGCGUAAGUCAUCAGAUCAGCGUUCCACUUGCCUUUGCCAAAGGCAGCAAAUUCUUCCUUGGCAGAAUGUUUGGAUAAAGCGACAGGAUUGCUUGGCUCAGUAUGGCCAGUGCCAGUAAUGACAACCUCAUCAUCCUUGGUACCGCUGGUUUGCAUUGGAGCUGUUGGCUUGUUAGUAGGUUUUGUUGGACCGGUGAAGCUUUCAAUCUGAAUGGAACCUGUGGGCUGAUGGAUAGGACCUGAGGUAUCAGUAGGUCUCUCUUCAGCAAUAAGAUCAUCAUCUUGCUGCGGUGGAUCGUUGGGAAUAUCCUCAGGAAUAGCCGCUUCAGCAUUGGGUGUCUUGCCUGCUUCAAGAACGACAUCUUCUUCGGCCAUUUUGUCCAGGCGGGCCUUCUUGCUUGGCCUAGGUUUGGCUCUGAGAAGAAUAAUAAAUCAAAUACAGCAUAUGUUCUAAGGCGAUGUACUGCAAACAUCACAAUAAGUAUAGCUUACGCAAGCACCGUUUUAAGCGGUGGGAGCUAAGUAGCCGAUGACUCGCCAGAAGAUGAGUGGGAAGUAACCUGGUAAUCGGAGUCAGACAGAUUAAGAGGUUGAUGAAAGCAGCCCGCUUUAGGACAAGCACUGACAAGCAAAUUAGAGACCUCUGAAUGGCGUUUCCGAACCGGACUAUUCGGUAAACCGGCGGAGGUAACUACCUGGCCGCUGUGCCGGGUUGUGCGACGAGCUUCGUGUUGUUGGGUCUUCAUAAGAAAUUUAGGAUCCAAAUAAGCAAGAGGAUGAGAAAAUUUAACUUUCCGGUUUGCCUGGAGGAUUUUUUGUGAAGGCAAAGUUUCUGAAUCGGAAGAGAGAAUAAUUACCUCUGCAACAUCCGCGUGGCUGGCUUCGGCAUCAUCCUAACAAAUAUCAUCAUCAAUAAGACGCAUGAAAAAUAAACCAAGUGAGUCAAGCUCUACCUCAAAGUCCGGAUUAUCCACAUCAUCAUCAGGGGCCGGAUUAGAAGAUGUAGUGGUUCUUUUUCUGUGGGCAGUCUUCUUCACAGCUUUAGUUUUUUGCCGGGUUGCUCUUUCCGGUUUGUCUGGUUUUUCUGGUUUCUCCUGCGGCAGUUUUUUGCUCCAAAACGGAUCAUUGCCCUGAUUAUGCAGACACUGAUAUUAAACAAUGACCAGACAUAUCAAUAACAGAUUCAGCAAAGAGAAAAAUCAAAAUCUUACAGCUGGCGGUUUGUUGGUGGCACAGAAGGGAAGCAGGCCGGUUCUAGCGCAGAAGUGUUCCGGUUCAUUCAGCAUCUUAUUUACAGCCUCUUUGAUUUCUUCAUCGGAGAGCUGGAUUUUUGAAUGUCGCAGUGGGUCAUCAAGAUUGUCAGUAUACUCGCACAUCAAACCGGAGCGCUGACUAAGGGGCAGUAUGCUCCAUGAUAUCCAACAGCGAGCGAGAUCAACCCCUGUUAAACCGUUGGCCAUAAAGGCUCUGAGCUUUGACAGUUGGGUAGCAUAUUUGCUUCUCUCCUGGGCAGUAAAUCUUUGAGGAAAAGGGUGUGUAUUGCUGAGCCGCUCCGGACGAAAUCCAGGCAAGGGAUUCUCACCAGCAGGGGAGGUGUCUUUGCAGUAGAACCAUGUCUGAUUCCACUCCUUGGGGAUGACUGUGCAGCUUGGCGUGAGGGUAUGUGACCUCUUUCCUUUUCUGAAUCGCCACGCCACCCAACUCUGUAUUAGAGCCAUCAUUAAACUCAGUACAACGGUUUAGAUGGAAAAUGUCUCUGAACAAUUCCACUGUGGGCUCCUCUUGAAAGAACACCUCACAGAGUACUUGGAAGUGACACAUAUUUGUAACAGAGUUGGGGCCAGUGUCUUGCGGAUGGAGUUGGAAAUCGGCUAAAACAUCCCGGUAAAAUUUAGAACCGGGCGUCUUAAAGCCCCGGGCUAAGUGAUCUACGAAAACAACAACCUCUCCUUCUCGAGGUGUGGGAGGGCAUUCUUUGCCAGGAGCCCUCCAAUGGAUGGUAUCUUUGCUGCCUAAAGCGCCAAUCAGGACUAAAUCGUCCAGUUGAUCCUCUGUAACACGAGAAGGAACCCAAUUGCACUCAUAUACUUGCUUGGCCAUGAUGGAAUCUGCAAGGUAGAAGGUCCCGGUUCAAAAAUGCAUUUGAUCAAGGUACGUUGGUAUGUGCACUGUUAAACCUGAGACAGAACUAUCUGAACCGGAGUUUCAUGAAGCAACCAACAUCUGGCGGUUCAACAAGGGGACUAAUGGCAUAUACCGGUUUGGAAAAUUUUCUAUAAGGUUAAACCGCCUGAUCUAAGCAUUGAAAAGUUGAGAUUGCGGAUGGACAAGUACGCAGAAACAGGUUUCACAAGAUUUCUUUACAGCAUUGGAUCUGAAGCAAGUUCAGAAAAGAGAUAAAUGCUUAGAGGUUCAAAGGAGCAGUACCGAACCAAUGAGCAAAACGUUCAUAUAGAUCUAUGGUUUGAGAUGCAUAAGUGAAGGCGAAGGUCAAACAACUAUCGUUGCACGGAGUAAAGACUUGCAAAUUCAUCUAAAGAUCUAUCGUAUGAGCAAGAUGCAGACGAUGAACACUGAAGAACUGCGAAACCCUAGGCCAGAUCUGCGGGGGAAAGGAUAGAAGAUUUACUGGAGCUGAGGAAGAUGCGGAAGGUUGCCGCGAUGUUCUGGUGCGCUCAGGUUGAUGCAGCGGCCAAGGAUGAGGCAGAGGUCGACGGCGGCGGCGGAGCUCCGAGGCUGGCGACGCGAGGAAGACGAAGAAGGCACGGAAGGAGAAAAGAAAUGACCCUUCGGUCCUAUUUAUAAGGCGAAAGAACAUGCGUCAGGCGCCACAAUCAAGGGGCCACAAAACGGAGCUGUCGCCUCGAUUUCCGCCAAUCUAUUAAACAAAGAAGCAUAAUGGAUAGCUUCGUUAUGACAGGUGACGUCACUCCGGUUUACAGCAAUCAGAGAAGAUGACAUCAUGGCGGUUUACCAAAUUAUAAAAAGAUGUUGAAGAUGAAGCUUUUAUCAAAAGGAUUGACAUGAACCCGUUCAAAUCAAUCUGGGGCCUAAUGUUGGGGAUAUUACUACUGGGCGUAAACCGGCCUAUCUGGGCCGGGUUAACUUCGUCAGUAGUUAAGUAUGUUAAAGCCCAAGAAGACAGAGGAGGGCUCAAGGCCCAUGGUCGGUUCAAGGCCUGUAGCCGUAAACCGGCGUUAGUAAUUAACAUGUAUUGUAAGUUAGGAAUAAGUAGAGACCAAACCGGACACAUCUAUGAGCCGGUAUUGGGACUCCGUAAGUCGACGGGAGUCACCCGUGUAUAUAAGGGGACGACCCGGCGGCGGUUCAGGAACAGACAACAACUCGAGACAUAGGCGAAGCUUGUUGGCUCCCUAGUCAUCGAAACCCCAUCAAUUCCAUAACAACUAGACGUAGGCUUUUACCUUCAUUGAAGGGGCCGAACUAGUAUAAACUCUCUUGCGUCCUUGUGUCCGCUUUAACCCCUUCAAGCUAACCCGUCGCAAUGGCUCCACGACUAAGUCCUUUCUUUAGGACAUCUGCCGUGACAAAACCACGACAUAGCCUGUGCUAAUUGAUUUAUUAGAUACUUUUUUUUGCGAAUAAAUACUGUUUAUACAGAGCUCUUAUUGGGGCUAUCAAUUUUUUAAUACAGCGAUAUGCUGACUGUUGAAAUGGAGGAAUAAGUCGAGAGACUUUAUACAUAUCAAAGCAAGUGAUCAUAGACACUUAAAUCAUCUGCUAGUCUUGCCGAUGAACUCGCUUCUAGAUUGUGAUCCAAAAUUAGGUUAAUCUUAAUUGAAUAUAUUAGUAAAGAAAGAGAUUUAUAAGAGAAAAACUAUAUUUUCGUUGGUUGACAUUUAACAUAUUUUCUUGUAUUUUUACUAUGUUUAUGUUAAGGCCCUUGAGAUUGGGAUCUAGUAUUCUAGUUUCGUCUCGGACCCCGAAAUCUCAGGACCGUCCCUGUGCGCCGUGAUUGCCUCCGGCCUCUGCAUCGAGACGGUAGGCGCCGUCGUGGUCGUCGGCGGCCUCGCGACCACCCUGGUGUUAUCCACUCUCUCUGCUCUCACUCGCUUGGAGGCCAACUAAUGAAAAUGAGAAGCGGUGUGAAGUGGCACGGAAAGGGAAUACGAUACAUGCGGCGCUCGCGACGGGGCGUUGCUUUUCCAAACGAGAAAGAGUGUGAUGUGGCUGAUCCCCUGCUCUAAGAUUCGUGCUAAUGAUCCAAGGGUGGAAAAGACGUUCAGACUGGGGUCAUGGAAACCUGACAUUCGGGGGUUAUAGAUUCCCAAGAAUAAUGGUUGGAUACAGCGCCGCCGACGGCUCAGCGGCUCGGCUGCCGGCAGCAAACGAAGGGGGAUAGAAUUAGCAACCUCAUGCUAAAUUCCGUGAGCCGCAAUUAGCAGCCUCUCGCUUAAUUCCGUGAACAAUUUGGCUCACUCCCUGACAAGUGACAACCUAGCUGCUCUGAACUCCGCUCGAAACCCUAGCCGCCCCCAUCAUCCCCUUCCUCCCACCCCGCCGCCCGCCAUGCCCUCGCCGGCGCCGCACCUCGUCGACGAAAUCCUGGAGGAGGUCUUCCUCCGCCUGACCACCCCGGCCGAGCUCGCCCGCGCCUCAACCGCCUGCCCCCGUUUCCGCCGCAUCAUCACCGACCGCUCCUUCCUCCGCCGCCACCGCAAACGCCACCCACCUCCGCUCCUCGGGCUCGUGAACGUGGAUGGCAGCUUCCAACCAGCCGAGGCGCCCCACCCCUCCGCCCCGCUCGCCCGCGCUCUCGCCGACGCCGCUGAUUUCACCUACUCCUUCGUCCCCGCGCCCAGCAAUGGCAUCCCCUGGCAUGUCCGCGACGUCCGCGAUGGCCGAGUCCUCCUGGAGGCCUGCCAGGUUUUGGAGACCCUCAAAGACAUGGCGCUGUGUGAUCCCUUGUCACGGCGCUACGUGCUGCUUCCGCCCAUACCGACGGACCUCGCUGUCCAGGAAGAGUACCCAUUUGAUAUCGUGCCCAUCCUUGCUCCCAUUGCGGAUGAUGAAGAUGAUAUGUCGUUCAAGGUGAUAUGCUUAGCCAUCUAUGGUUCCAAGCUAACCGCCUUUGUCUUCUCGUCUGUCACACAGCAAUGGUGUAUAACUGCAUCUAUCGGUUGGAGUUUGUUAGACGCGCAUCACCCUCCCCUUGGACUGUGCAUGUUUUCCACUUAUGGGUUCUGUGGCUUGCCCGGUUUCGACAACGAGGGCGGAUGCUUCUACUUGGCGUCACCUUUGUUAGACAAGUUGUUCGUGCUGGACACACAAAAAAUGGAGUUUCUCACUGUCAAAUAUCACACUGGCUAUGAUAUACUGGUCAGACACCUGCCUGGCCGGAUAAUCGAAUUUCUCGCCAGAUACGGUGAUCCCCAUAUAAUUCAACCUGGCCAGGACAGAAGUAUGCGUGGCAUUGUAGUAGGUAGAGAAGGAGACCUCGAGAUGUUUUCUCUCAUCGGUGAUCACAGCCCAAAUGGCUCAUUUGAUCUCUAUCAUACGACUCAGCAAAGCAAUGGUGAAUCUUCCAAUGAAUGGCGGAUGAAGAAUAUUAUACCGUUGCCUGGAGGGCAUGACUAUUUCACCAUGAGUGCGGCUGAGGGAUUAUUGUUCCUUGGAGCCACUACAGAAGAUCAAGUGGGCUUUGAUAGAGAGUCUGGGCCGCCAUUGUCCAGGAUUGAUUGGGAUGUAGAUUAUUUUUCGCUUGAGGUCAAGACUUCUGAAGUGAGGAAGGUUUGCACGAGCAAGGGGAAAUUCUUCCAUGCUGAACAUGUUCACUGGUACUUUGGCUACCCCCCGUCGCUGUCAAAACCGAGUGUAUGAAGUGGUAAGUUAAUUUGUUUUAUGAUCGUUGUGCUCUGCUGGCCUAAUUGUUCAUGUAGAUGUGAUUGCUUUAUGCUGUUAUACAAGACAUUGUCAAAGUAGGGUAAGUUGGCAUGAUCUGUUUCCUGGUCAAUAAUUGCCUUGCAACAUGGUAAUAAAGUUAACAAUUUCAUUUCAUACCAAGAAGGGUGUAUAUACCCCACCAAGUUUGCAUAACAUUUGCUUCAGUUAAUGUCUGAGGGCCAUUUACAUCUAAGGAAAGGCGUUAAUUUAUCCUUUGCGUAUUAGUUUCUGCUACAUUUUGUUAACUGGAACCGGCUAAAUGAUCAUUUGUCCCUCUUAUAGACAUACUACCUCUAUUAUUUGCCCCUCUUUAGAUAACAUUUGACCAUUAAUUUACUCUUGUUUAAAUUUUUGUGCGUACCAUUUUCGCCUUUCUAGUUAGUAGGCACCAACCCAUGCAAAUAUGACAUCAGUUACCUGCAAAAGAAGUAUGACAUAGGUUACCUGUAAAAGAAGUAUGAAAUAGAAUUAUAGGGAAGGAAUAGGAGUACACUCUUGCAAGAUUUUAAAACUGCAUGUAUGUUUCCAGUUGUGGUGAAGCCUGGUACUAUAUUUUCAGUAACUUUAUACAGCUUUGUGAAGCUACUGUUUGGUAUUUGUUUGUGAAAGUAUAAAUGUUCUGAUAUAUGUUAGGUUAAUUAAAAUUGAGGCAUAUCCUGCUUCAUAUUUCGUUAAUAAACUUCUGGAAGCCAUUCAUAUUAAGGUUUUCGGCGCAGUUUUGCCUAGAAACCGUGCAGCUUUAUUCUCUUUUCAUAAAUUGCAGGAACACCCUACCCAUUUGGAACAAAAAGCUGCCCAUAUGUCUUCUAUUUUUCUUUUCUUCUUUGAAUAUGAUUUGGCACAUGCUCCGGAUGAUUGGACAGAUUAUAGUUAGACUCCAUUGACAUGGUUCUCUUUGUAGCACAUGAAUAAGAGUCCACAUGAUACCUAAGACGACACAUACGUAAUCAAAGAUUCACAUCGUGAGAUUUCGGGCAUCCAUUUCUUGAAGCUACGUGUUAUUUUUAUCUAUCUCUAAGGAAAAGGGCUAGCUGUAGGGCAUAAGUGAGCCUUCAACCUAUAAACUCCCUAGGACUUUUAAAAGCUAUCAUUUAAAUAUAUCAAAAUAGUCUUCAAACACAAUUUGGAACACUGAUGGGUGAUUAGAUAUAUUUAAGUACCCUGUCAAAUUUGAUAUUAUCAAAAUACUGUUUACAACGAAUACACAGACAUUAUUCCCAAGUAGUAAUAUAAAUAUUUUAUAUAAAAUAUUAUUAUUCAAAGUGUAGAAGGUAUAACCUCACUAAGUUUCCAAAAUCUGGGGGAGUAAUCAAAUAAUAUUAUUGCUCUUAACAUGAUAUGAAUUUGCUUUAUUGGGUACGUACAUGAACGUACAUCAAUUUGAAGAGCGUUUGCUUAUUGAAUUGUUUUCAAACUUUUCCUUCUACUGCACUAGCACGGAAGCUGAAUUAUCCGUUUGCAUCCAAUUAGUUGUGCUAUUUCAGAUUUAUUAGUAAAGCAGUAAAUUUUGGUCAAUUCGAGCAGCUCUAGUGUCUAGUCAAUCCAACGGGCGAAAAAACUCAAAGCACAUGCAUCUAUCUUUAUCAUGAAUGCAUUGUGGCAUUCGAUGGUUUCCACUAAAGAAGGAAAAAAAGCUGAUUAAUUAGGCAAUUUUAAACGUACACAUGGACCUUAUUGCUUCAUUAGUAUGGGAGAAUCCCACCCCACCUUGUAUUUUCCAAUCAGCUUGAACGCCUUUGGCAGGUUUGCUACAAUGCUACUGAGAUGUAGGUGACUUGAACUAUUGUUCUGAUUGAUCUGAUAUGGCCGCCACGAUCUGUACGACGUCCCAAACGUGGAGUUAUGGUGGAUUCAUUACGAUCUGGACCAUACAGAUAAACCCAAUGGGUUAUAUCUGUUUUAUUUAGAGUCAACAUGGUGGCUCAGAAGGAACCCCCAAUUAGUAAAUAUAUAAGACAAGAUGCAAAGAUAUGGUUUUGUUCCAAUUCCACAAUUCAAAGCCUUCUUUUCCUUCUCUUUUUACCUUUGCUCCCAUAUUCAUGUUUGGCUUGGACCAUACUGAUACUAGCAUCGGUGGUGGCGUGGCAGUGCGAGCCCCACCGAGUAGUUUGCUAGGCUGCAAGGUCUCGACGUGACCUGUGGAGAGCUAUCGACGAGCUUGCAACACUCCUAGGUGCAACAAUGCCCAGCCCCACAACAAGUGCAGUGCUGCAACAAUGGCCGCCGCACUCGUUGUAUGUGGUUCAGUGUCGAUGUUUCUACAGCUGCUGAUGCUUCAAAUUCCAAUACUGAUUCCACAGUUAUGCGCAGGUAGAUGGGCAUUAUCAUUAGUUGCGGAUCAGUGCUUGCGCAUGGUUCAAUUAUUUCCUUCUUUUUUUAUCAAUCAGGUUCUUGUUCAGAAAGAGCACAGCUUGGCAUGGACAGCUGUGACUUGACAGUUGACAGGAGCAGAAUGUAAGAACAAAAACAAUCUCAGGAAAGGGAAAAUAAAUGGAAGUGACCACAAAAGGGUAGAUCAUCAAUCCAAAAAUCUCGGGUAUACCAUCAAUUAGAAUCUAGGUUAUGCGCGAUAAAUAAUGUGGGUAUGUUCAUAAGAGGCUCAAAUAAUCAAAUAUCCUACAUGGAAUAGAGGGACUCCUUAAUUAGAACCUUGAAUGAGGAGCUUACGUGCCUUUAGUUUUGAGCUGUGAAUCUGUGAUUUACUUGUCGAUUUUGUACGGAGCGCUUUAUUGUGAAACCCUUGGAAGAAGAGUUUUUUGUUGCAUCCACAUGAUUCUAGUUUGUUCUAACUAGUAAGUAUAUCUGCAGGACUGAUGAACUUGCUUUGCUUCUGUUGUCUUUUUUUGGGCCAUGCAUCUGGAGCCUUUGAAGAGAAAUGGAGGAUGGGCAAAAAGAUGGUGCCGCGCAAAUAGUACUUGAGCAUGGUAUUAUUUACAGGGAAUCAUUGGUACUUGAGCAUUGGUAUUAGUAUUUUAGUCGACGUAUACUUUGCUACAUAUGUUGAUGUUAAGCGUGUCAAAGCAAGACAUGAUGGGAGCAAGGUGAAUUUUGGCGAAUGUUUGUAUGUAAGAUGCUUGUUGUUGUGUGUGUUUGGAAAAUGGUCGUAUACUUUUGUCGAAACUCUCAGUGGUUGCAGCACAUUAUCCUCUCUGCUCAACAUGUUCAUGGAUCUGAUGAUUCAUUGCU
rnacentral:lncRNA from 1 species